rnacentral:sRNA from 1 species
GAUUCUGCCCUACGGGGAAGGAUGAGAAGCUUCGACUAAGGUUCGACUCGAGCGAAGCGAGAGAACGUUGCCGCAGGCAACGGCCCGAAGGGCGAGGCGCUUUAGCGCCGAGUAAUCCUUCCCCCACCACUG